GGGCCUCUCACUCUGAUGCGUGCACUCUUCACGAUUUUCUUUCCUCGCCGCUGUCUCUCGUCGUUGUUUUUGUGCGCCCGUCCCAAUAAAUAAAUAAAAUGACUUACUGGAGGCAAGCUGGUCUGAACUACCUGCAGUACUCUGCCAUCGCGGCACGUGUGCUGCGGCAGGCCCUCAAGUCCGACGUGAAGAAGGUGACCACCGACGGCCCCGUCACCCUCAAAGUCACCCACUGGAAGGACGGCAAAGCCAUCAGCAAGUCCCUGUAACAUGGUGGCGAGAGCAAGUGGUGGAGUGAGCGGGGAGUGCUGCCGGCGGCCGACCACUGCAGCGGAAAGGAAUCACACCGGUGUGAAUGAUGUGUGCUCCGCAUAGCACGCGCCCUUCGGACCGCGGAGGGCCCUCCUAGUGAUCACCUCCGAGACAAAUAUUGCCUGUCGUCUUUGUGAAUAAUAUACGAUGUCUGAGGCCUGUGA